GGCGUGUGGGAGAGGACCUGAAGGGGUGGUCGGUACCCCAACAGCCCAGCGGUGGGGGGCUGCCUGCGUCCACCCCUCACAAGACGUCAAGGUCAAGGUUCAGAGCAGAUCUGCGGUUCCCAGAGGUCCACAAGCCGGCGCCCGGGGCUCAGUUCCCCAGCAAGAACCGGGUACGUGCUGCACUCACAUCGUGGGGUCCUGUGA
rnacentral:lncRNA from 1 species